rnacentral:lncRNA from 1 species
AGAAAAAAAAAUGAAUAAAACGGGAAAUAAGAGCAAAAAGCCCCCGUAGAUGAAAAUAAAGCAUAAGUAUCCCAUGUUGACCCUCGAUAUUGGUAAUUGUUUGAUUUUAGUUGGAUCUAGCUUGUUUUUGAAUUUCUUGAGUUUACAUUGUAUGAUGCCUUCAAAGAGACUUGUUAUGUGUUAAAUUUGAUUUUAUAUCAGUUAACAUUGUUGUGGAGC